UACAGGGGGGGCAAGCGUUGUUCGGAAUUACUGGGCGUAAAGGGCUCGUAGGUGGCCAACUAAGUCAGACGUGAAAUCCCUCAGCUUAACUGGGGAACUGCGUCUGAUACUGGAUGGCUUGAGUUUGGGAGAGGGAUGUGGAAUUCCCGGUGUAGUGGUGAUAUGCGUAGAUAUCGGGAGGAACACCUGUGGCGAAGGCGGCUUUCUGGGCCCUACCUGACGCUGAGACGCGAAAGCGUGGGGAGCGAACCGG
rnacentral:rRNA from 1 species